UAAAAUUGGAAGGUGGCUCGUCAGUCCUUCGAUUGAGUUGGCUGUUCUUCCCACUUUGGAUACCUUUCUCUUUAGUAGAAAAAAAGUACCAAAAACAACACUAUAUUGCCCUAAAAUUAUUGGGUCAUUCCUUGCAAGAUGCUACUGACUGGUUUUUCAUGACCAAAAAACUAAAUAUUGGUUCUCUCCUUACAGAUUUAGGGCAGGAAACAUUCAGGAGUCUUAUUCCAAGUUAUAUUAGGAAUUCCUAUGUGGCUGUCGUUGUCUAUGAUGUUGCAAGCAGGCAGUCCUUCGUAAAUACUUCAAAGUGGAUUGAAGAGGCAAGUCUCAAUAGAGGAAGCAGAAGCCAAGGCUCGUGACUUGAAUGUUAUGUUUAUUGAAACUAGUGCCAAGGCUGGCUUCAAUAUCAAGGCUCUAUUUCGGAAGAUUGCAGCUGCUUUACCUGGAAUGGAAACACUUUCUUCUACAAAGCAAGAAGAAGACACGGUUGAUGUCAAUCUUAAGUCUACCAAUGCAAAUGCAUCUCAAUCACAGCAACAGUCUGGAGGAUGUGCCUGCUGAUUAGCGCAUCAUUAAUCUUGACUCUAGUUUUAGAGGUUUACAUUUAAGCUCCAGUGAUCCUACAGAAGUGUUGUAAAAAAAUUGCCCUUCCCUUUAUCUGAAGCAUCGGGCUUUUGGGUUUAGUUGUGUUAUGAUAGUUAUAGGCUAGUCCUAACCUGCCCUAUAUAAUGUGAUAUAUCAAACAAACAUUAGUGCCAAAUUUACGUACUGUUAGUCAUCUACUGUUAAAGAAAAUGGGGAAUUGAAAAAUGCUUCAGAUUAGGGAAUUGUGUUUUGUAACUGGGUGUUGAAUUGUUGAGUGAUGCAGUGAUUCCCUUUCUUAGUUCAGAAAA